UACGUAGGGGGCAAGCGUUGUCCGGAAUCAUUGGGCGUAAAGCGCGCGUAGGCGGCCCUGUAAGUCCGUUGUGAAAGUCGAAGGCUCAACCUUCGAAAGCCGAUGGAUACUGCAGGGCUAGAGUCCGGAAGAGGCGAGUGGAAAUUCCUGGUGUAGCGGUGGAAUGCGCAGAUACUCAGGAGGAACACCAAUAGCGAAGGCAGCUCGCUGGGACGUACUGACGCUAAGGCGCGAAAAGCGUGGGAGCGAACAGG
rnacentral:rRNA from 1 species